AGCCCGGUGGUGUAAUGGUAGCACAACUGAUUCUGGUUCAGUUUGUCGGGGUUCAAAUCCCUGCCGGGCUGCCA
rnacentral:tRNA from 1 species